AUUGAACGCUGGCGGCAGGCCUAACACAUGCAAGUCGAACGGUAACAGGAAGAAGCUUGCUUCUUUGCUGACGAGUGGCGGACGGGUGAGUAAUGUCUGGGAAACUGCCUGAUGUAGGGGGAUAACUACUGGAAACGGUAGCUAAUACCGCAUAACGUCCCAAGACCAAAGAGGGGGACCUUCUGGCCCCUUGCCCUCGGAUGUGCCCAGAUGGGAUUAGCUAGUAGGUGGGGUAAAGGCCCACCAAGGCGACGAUCCGUAGCUGGUCUGAGAGGAUGACCAGCCACACUGGAACUGAGACACGGUCCAGACUCCUACGGGAGGCAGCAGUGGGGAAUAUUGGACAAUGGGCGGAAGUCUGAUCCAGCCAUACCGCGUGGGUGAAGAAGGCCUUCGGGUUGUAAAGCCCUUUUGUUGGGAAAGAAAAGCAGCAGGUUAAUACCCCGCUGUACUGACGGUACCCAAAGAUUAAGCACCGGCUAACUUCGUG
rnacentral:rRNA from 1 species